rnacentral:rRNA from 1 species
UAAAUUGUUCAUUAAUUGUAGACUUGUAUGAAAGAAUGAAUAAUUAGAGACUUUAUUUAUAAUAAUGAUUGAAGUUUGUCUUUUAGUAAGAAUACUAAAAUAUAUUUCAGGGACGGGAAGCCCCUAUAAAGCUUUAAAUAUAAGGUUAUUUUUAGAUAAUGUUAUUUUUUAAAUGGGGGCAAUUUUUUUUAAUUUAAAAUAUAAAUUUUUUUAUAAUUUUGUAUGAUCCUUUAUUAAAGAUAAUUUGAAUAAGUUACUUUAGGGAUAACAGUAUAAUUUUUGUUUAAAAGUACAAAUUUGCAACAAAGAUUAUAACCUCGAUGUUGAAUUAAUUUUAUAUUAUAGGGAAGAAGCUAUAUGUAUUUGACUGGUCGUCAAUUAAUUAUUUACAUGAUCUGAGUUC